UUUAACUGAGCGUUCAGUUACUUGACGUAGACCCGAAACCGGGCGACCUACCCAUGAGCAGGAUGAAGCGAAAGUAAAAUUUCGUGGAGGUCCGAACCCACGAGCGUUGAAAAGCUCGGGGAUGACUUGUGGGUAGCGGUGAAAUUCCAAUCGAGCCCGGAGAUAGCUGGUUCUCCCCGAAAUAGCUUUAGGGCUAGCCUCAAGGUGAGAGAUACGGAGGUAGAGCACUGAAUGUCCUAGGGGGUAUUGCACCUACCGAAGACUAUCAAACUCCGAAUGCCGUCAUCUUAUACUUGGGAGUCAGACUGUGGGUGAUAAGAUUCAUAGUCGAAAGGGCAACAGCCCAGAUCGUCAGCUAAGGUCCCUAAAUGUAAGUUAAGUGGUAAAGGAUGUGGGAUUGCACAGACAACCAGGAUGUUGGCUUAGAAGCAGCCACUCAUUCAAAGAGUGCGUAAUAGCUCACUGGUCGAGUGAUCCUGCGCCGAAGAUUUCCGGGGCUAAAACUUACUACCGAAGCUACGGCAUCAGUAAUGAUGGGUAGGGGAGCUUCCCAUACGGGUUGAAGCAUGACCGUAAGGACAUGUGGACAGUAUGGGAGUGAGAAUGUUGGCAUGAGUAGCGAGAUGUGGGUGAGAAUCCCACAGGCCGUAAACCCAAGGUUUCCAGGGGAAGGUUCGUCCGCCCUGGGUUAGUCGGGACCUAAGCUGAGGCCGAAAGGCGUAGGUGAUGGACAACAGGUUGAUAUUCCUGUACUACCGAUAACCGUUUGAGAGAAGGGAUGACACAGUAGGAUAAGCUAAGCACACUGUUGGUUAUGUGUGCCCAAGCAUUGAGGCAGUCAAAGUAGGCAAAUCCGCUUUGAUAAUGCUGGGAUGUGAUGGGGAGCGAAAUUUAGUAGCGAAGUAGCUGAUUUCACACUGUCAAGAAAAGUCUCUAUCGAGGUUAAAGGUACCCGUACCGCAAACCGACACAGGUGGGUGAGGAGAGUAUCCUAAGGCCAGCGAGAGAACUGUUGUUAAGGAACUCGGCAAAAUGACCCCGUAACUUAGGGAUAAGGGGUGCCACCAUCAGGUGGCCGCAGAGAAUAGGCCCAAGCGACUGUUUACCAAAAACAUAGGUUUCUGCUAAGUCGCAAGACGAUGUAUAGGAGCUGACGCCUGCCCGGUGCUGGAAGGUUAAGGGGAUCUGUUAGAGCAAUCGAAGCAGUGAACUUAAGCCCCAGUAAACGGCGGCCGUAACUAUAACGGUCCUAAGGUAGCGAAAUUCCUUGUCGGGUAAGUUCCGACCCGCACGAAAGGCGUAACGAUUUGGGCACUGUCUCAACAACAGACUCGGUGAAAUUGUAAUUCCGGUGAAGAUGCCGGAUACCUGCGACAGGACGGAAAGACCCCAUGGAGCUUUACUGUAGCUUGACAUUGGGUCUUGGUACUACAUGUACAGGAUA
rnacentral:rRNA from 1 species